GACGAACGCUGGCGGCGUGCUUAACACAUGCAAGUCGAACGGAAAGGCCCUGCUUUUGUGGGGUGCUCGAGUGGCGAACGGGUGAGUAACACGUGAGUAACCUGCCCUUGACUUUGGGAUAACUUCAGGAAACUGGGGCUAAUACCGGAUAGGAGCUCCUGCUGCAUGGUGGGGGUUGGAAAGUUUCGGCGGUUGGGGAUGGACUCGCGGCUUAUCAGCUUGUUGGUGGGGUAGUGGCUUACCAAGGCUUUGACGGGUAGCCGGCCUGAGAGGGUGACCGGCCACAUUGGGACUGAGAUACGGCCAAGACUCCUACGGGAGGCAGCAGUGGGGAAUAUUGCACAAUGGGCGGAAGCAUGAUGCAGCAACGCCGCGUGCGGGAUGAAGGCCUUCGGGUUGUAAACCGCUUUCGCCUGUGACGAAGCGUGAGUGACGGUAAUGGGUAAAGAAGCACCGGCUAACUAAGUG
rnacentral:rRNA from 1 species